rnacentral:rRNA from 1 species
AUUGAACGCUGGCGGCAGGCUUAACACAUGCAAGUCGGACGGUAACGGGAAGAAAGCUUGCUUUCUUUGCUGACGAGUGGCGGACGGGUGAGUAAUGCUUGGGAAUCUGUUUUAUGGAGGGGGAUAACUACGGGAAACUGUAGCUAAUACCGCGUAAUAUCGAGAGAUUAAAGUGUAGGACCGUAAGGCCACAUGCCAUACAGUGAGCCCCAGUGGGAUUAGGUAGUUGGUGGGGUAAAGGCCUACCAAGCCGUCAAUCUCUAGCUGGUCUGAGAGGAUGACCAGCCACACUGGGACUGAGACACGGCCCAGACUCCUACGGGAGGCAGCAGUGGGGAAUAUUGCACAAUGGGCGCAAGCCUGAUGCAGCCAUGCCGCGUGAAUGAAGAAGGCCUUCGGGUUGUAAAGUUCUUUCGGUGGUGAGGAAGGUUGGCGUGUUAAUAGCACGUUAAUUUGACGUUAGCCGCAGAAGAAGCACCGGCUAACUCCGUGCCAGCAGCCGCGGUAAUACGGAGGGUGCGAGCGUUCAUCGGAAUAACUGGGCGUAAAGGGCACGCAGGCGGAUACUUAAGUGAGGUGUGAAAGCCCUGGGCUUAACCUAGGAAUUGCAUUUCAUACUGGGUAUCUAAAGUAUUUUAGGGAGGGGUAGAAUUCCACGUGUAGCGGUGAAAUGCGUAGAGAUGUGGAGGAAUACCGAAGGCGAAAGCAGCCCCUUGGGGGAAUACUGACGCUCAUGUGCGAAAGCGUGGGGAGCAAACAGG